rnacentral:rRNA from 1 species
CUCAGGACGAACGCUGGCGGCGUGCCUAACACAUGCAAGUCGAACGAGAUCCAUGGGAGCUUGCUCCCGGAAGAUCUAGUGGCGAACGGGUGAGUAACACGUGAGAAACCUGCCCUGGAGUGGGGAAUAACUCGGGGAAACUCGAGCUAAUACCGCAUACCCUCGGAUGGUCGCAUGGCCGACCGAGGAAAGAUUUAUCGCUCUAGGAGGGUCUCGCGGCCUAUCAGCUAGUUGGUGGGUAACGGCCUACCAAGGCAACGACGGGUAGCUGGUUUGAGAGAACGAUCAGCCACACUGGGACUGAGACACGGCCCAGACUCCUACGGGAGGCAGCAGUGGGGAAUCUUGCGCAAUGGGCGAAAGCCUGACGCAGCAACGCCGCGUGCGGGAUGACGGCCUUCGUGGUUGUAAACCGCUUUCAGCAGGGACGAAAAUGACGGUACCUGCAGAAGAAGCCCCGGCUAACUACGUG